rnacentral:tRNA from 1 species
GCGGACGUGGCGAAAUUGGUAGACGCACCAGCCUUAGGAGCUGGUGGGCUAACCCCCGUGUCGGUUCGACUCCGGCCGUCCGCA